AUUGAACGCUGGCGGCAGGCUUAACACAUGCAAGUCGAGCGGAGAGAGGUAGCUUGCUACUGAUCUUAGCGGCGGACGGGUGAGUAAUGCUUAGGAAUCUGCCUAUUAGUGGGGGACAACAUUUCGGAAGGAAUGCUAAUACCGCAUACGUCCUACGGGAGAAAGCAGGGGAUCUUCGGACCUUGCGCUAAUAGAUGAGCCUAAGUCGGAUUAGCUAGUUGGUGGGGUAAAGGCCUACCAAGGUGACGAUCUGUAGCGGGUCUGAGAGGAUGAUCCGCCACACUGGGACUGAGACACGGCCCAGACUCCUACGGGAGGCAGCAGUGGGGAAUAUUGGACAAUGGGCGGAAGCCUGAUCCAGCCAUGCCGCGUGUGUGAAGAAGGCCUUAUGGUUGUAAAGCACUUUAAGCGAGGAGGAGGCUACUUUAGUUAAUACCUAGAGAUAGUGGACGUUACUCGCAGAAUAAGCACCGGCUAACUCUGUGCCAGCCGCCGCCGUAAGAC
rnacentral:rRNA from 1 species